GGACCCAAGAGAGGAACCAAGGUAUGUUCAGUACUAGUACCAUUUUCUUCAACCAAGUAAUCAUGGUUCCACCUUAAACAAAUAGUUAUACUACAAAUCAUAAAGUGCUGCCACCAAUUAUGAUAUACCUAUAUAUUUAACGUACAGGUAUUAGGUAACUUGCACCAUGCAAUAAUCAACGAUGAUUUCCCAAUUGACAAAAUCAAACAUAAUUCUCAUAACAGGGGAAAAAAAGGCCUUCACUUUCCUGGAUCACUGAAAAAGGAAGAAAAAAAAAAGCUUGAAACAAUAGAUCAAGUACCGGGCAGUGCUUGAAUCAUAUAGUUUCUAUAUAUUCAGCACCAGGGAGUUGACCAAGUAACCUCAAGUAGAAGAGGUUAGAAUUUGGAAUCCUCAUCCCUGACAUAAAUGAAAAGAAAUAGUUCUAUAUACCAACCGAUUCUAAAUCAUUUGAGUUUGCUUAGCAGAGUAGGGAACAAAGAUUUAAAAUAAAUAGAGAUCUUAAUUUCAAAUAUCCAUGUAGAAUAAAGUUUAAUUGUUAAGAAGAAGAAGAAGAAGAAG
rnacentral:misc_RNA from 1 species